CACUUUGGGAGGCUGAGGCAGGCGGAUCACGAGGUCAGGAGUUCAAGACCAGCCUGGCCGAGAUGGUGAAACCCCGUCUCUACUAAAAAUACAACAACAAAAAAAAAAUUAGCCGGGCAUGGUGGUGGGUGCCUGUAAUCCCAGCUACUUGGGAGGCUGAGGCAGAGAAUUGCUUGAACCCAGGAGGCGGAGGUUGCAGUGAGCCAAGAUCGUGCCAGUCCACUCCCGCCUGGGCAACAGAGCGAGACUCCGUC
rnacentral:lncRNA from 1 species